UACAGAGGUGGCAAGCGUUGUUCGGAAUUACUGGGCGUAAAGGGCGCGUAGGCGGCCCUCUAAGUCAGACGUGAAAUCCCCCGGCUUAACCUGGGAACUGCGUCUGAUACUGGGGGGCUAGAGUAUGGGAGAGGGAUGUAGAAUUCCAGGUGUAGCGGUGAAAUGCGUAGAUAUCUGGAGGAACACCGAUGGCGAAGGCGGGUUGCUGGGCUGAUACUGACGCUGAGGCGCGAAAGCCAGGGGAGCGAACGGG
rnacentral:rRNA from 1 species